UACGCGCACUCUCUUUUUUUCUGUGCAUCUUUUUCAGGAUCUGUAUUUUCCUUCAGACCUUUUAUAAUGUUGAGUAAUUUAUAGUUCUAUUUUUUCAUCCUUCUGUCAUACUGAGAAGACCUUUUUCUCUUUAGCAGCUCAUUUUUCCUUUUGGAGAGGAAGUGGAUGUAACCACCACUCCCUGAUGAGAAGAGCUUAUCUGCAUUAAGGAUGGGGAGCUUCAGUCUCAACUGCUAAAGUUUUAACAGGAGUGCAGAGCCAGUUUUUGACAAAACGUAAAAUAUCUGAUAUGACCCAUUAAACAGAAUGAAAAGAUCGGUAAGCAAGCAGGAAGAAAACACAAGAAUAAACCAGCCAUGCACAGCAUAUCUCCCAAAUCCUAGUCCGUACAUUGCUCUGCAAAAAAAAGUCAACUAAACUGCAUUUCAUGGAUUAUUAUUUAUCAGUUAUUUUGCAGUAAUGCUGAAAGGGCCUGGUGAGGACUGGAGCCCAAUUGUGUUAUAUUCUGUUCACACACAGCAAGACACAAUCUCUUCCCUGAAACGCUUACAAUCUAAUCAUACAUUCCAUUGGGAUAGCAGCAUUGAAAGGUCAGUUCUGAUCAGGUGGUUAUAAUUGUUUCAAGCACUGUACUAAUAGACUUAACUAGAUCUGUAGGAACCUUCUGCUCUCACACAAUCACACUUCUGUAUUUGCUAUAGCUGUAAUUUAAAACAGGCUUAUACUUUCUGAAAAAUGGACAUGUUGAUCUAUGAAGUAACGUUUGUCUUCACUUGUAAGACAGGGAGAUGGGAACAUAACAUUUAUGAUGAUUCUACCGCUCUUGAGUUAUCACUGCUCACUAUCCUCAAGAAGAUAAGUAUCAGAACAAAGAUUAGCUGUCAUGAAUUCCUCACAGAUGCCAAGAACAGAAAAAAAAUAAAAAUCAGAAUUUAAAGACAGAAAGCCCAUAUCACUGAAAAUAAUGAGUGAGCUGCUUAAGGAUUUCCUGGUUGUAUGCCUGAAUGAGCAGAAAUCAUUCCAAAACUUCAGUUAUUUAGGCCAAGGGAAAGAUUUGAAAAUUACACAUGGUCAAGUGUUGACCCAAUAGGUCUGGCUAGACUCAAGGCUCAAUUUAAGCCUAUGAUGUUGAUUCUAGGUCAGGGGUGGGCAAACUUUUUAGCCUGAAGGCCACAUCAGGUUUCAGAAAUUGUAUGGAGGGCCAGUUAGGGGACGCUGUGCCAGGCUGUGCCCCUGCCCCCUAUCUGC